GCUGGCGGCAGGCUUAACACAUGCAAGUCGAACGCAUCCUUCGGGGUGAGUGGCAGACGGGUGAGUAACGCGUGGGAACGUGCCCUUCAGUUCGGAAUAACCCAGGGAAACUUGGGCUAAUACCGGAUACGUGCGAGAGCAGAAAGAUUUAUCGCUGAAGGAUCGGCCCGCGUCUGAUUAGCUAGUUGGUAGGGUAAUGGCCUACCAAGGCGACGAUCAGUAGCUGGUCUGAGAGGAUGAUCAGCCACAUUGGGACUGAGACACGGCCCAAACUCCUACGGGAGGCAGCAGUGGGGAAUAUUGGACAAUGGGCGCAAGCCUGAUCCAGCCAUGCCGCGUGAGUGAUGAAGGCCUUAGGGUUGUAAAGCUCUUUCGGCGGGGACGAUAAUGACGGUACCCGCAGAAGAAGCCCCGG
rnacentral:rRNA from 1 species